GGUCUUUAUACCGGAACGACCCUGAUUUUUAUCCGGCCAAGGACUGUCACUCCCGCAAUAUUCCCCAAAAAGUAAGAUCAAAGUAUUUCCAGACUUAUUUAAGACCACAUUUAUUUGAAAAAGGCCUAGAUACGAAAGCUCCUUUAGGAAAUCACGAGUUUUAUCUCGAGUUGAGCUAGGUCCCAGUAAACUAACAAUAUUGUCAGAUGUUUUAGUAAUGGAAAAUAAUGAUUUUAACAUUGAUGACUAGAGAGAUUAAAUAGAAAAAUCCGAUUUUUGCUUGCGAUAUCCCAAAAUGAAUUUCUUCACCACCAAUUUUAUUUAAACGGUCAUCUCUAAAUACAGCAAAGUUGUUCCCUAAGAUUUCCGAGUUGAAGACACUUGGUUUAAGCCAAGUUUCGGAGAAAUCCAAGAUUUUAUAGUCGCAGUUUAGCAUUGUAAAUAUACAUAAGUCUUUCAGAUUAGUUUUCAAACCUCUUACGUUUUGACAGUAAAUAUUCAGGUUAAUAUCUGUUAGCAUUUUUUUGGCUCAGAUAAUUGAGCAAGGUUGUUUCUAAUAUUUCUUUGCUUUAAAUCAAACUCUCGAACAAAAGCGCCAUUCGGCCGAAAUGAUGAGUUCAAAAGUACGUCGAAGCAUUCAGCUGAAACAUAUAUUUUAAAGGAAGCUAUAGAUCUGUCAUAGGUGAAAUUGAACUUCCUAAUAUCCAAACUCACUGUAUUUAAUUUUUCUGAUAUGCAGGAUCGCACGUCAUCCGAAGUUGUAUCUUUUGCAAACCGCGAUACAAAUUAGGACUUUCUUUUCGGAACCACAACUAGCUCUUGUCUUGUUGUGGUUAAGGCCGAGGGACGUGCUGAAGUAAGUAAACGCUCCGGCGCCGUAAUUAUUUCAAUCUGCUUAGAUGCAGUCGAAGUAGUUGAGAAAGGGCAAGUGCAGAGGGAUGUCGACUUGAGGUCGGAUUGUUUGCUACUUCUAAUGUCUUAGCGGUAGCUCUAGUUUUUUUUCCUAUAGGGUUUGGAGCAGGAAUUGAAAGAUAUCUAGUCUUUUUUUAAAUUCGGACUGAUUAAUGAAUUUAAACGUGCGUCCGAAGCGGUAACUGCAUUCACAACUAUCCUAUCGUACUAUGUUUUCGCUUCGUGGACCCUGUCUUCAUUUUCGAGGAAUUAGAGGAACCAAUGCAUUUGAAAGAUUUAAAUGCGCUGAAAUUUUUAGGUGAGGACUUUCAAAUCCUUCCCUAUUUCCGGCAUGACCAGCGACCAUCAUGUAUGAAGUUAAGGACACGACCGUUUAUGCCGGCUCAGCAUUACUUUUCAGAUUUCACUUUUCGAACGAGCAGGACAUCUUUUAUAUAAAAUAAAAGUAAUAGAAAUGAAUAUAUAAAAGUAAUAUAUCUAAGAAGUUACAGAUGUGCUGAAAUAAUAUAAUUUAGCAAGCUUAGAUACAAGCAAAAUAGCGCAGUUUAAGAGGCAAUGUAAUAAAACCAUGAUCAGUUGAUUGCUAUUAAGCGAAAAUAAUGAGAAAAAUGAGAGCGAGAGAAGUCGUCUGCCAAUAAAGCACGCAGAACUCCAUCUACACUGGCUUUUGAGCCCUUGGCCUUAAUCAAAAGCCACAUCUGUAACACAGAAACGAUUCAAAAAAGAAAAAAAAUUACAUACCAUAGCAUCUGCGCUAGCUCUAUUUUGGAGCUUUCUUUCAAGAAAGCUCAGAUUUUCUUUCGAUGGCAUGGGAAGUUUAGAAGCUAGCUCCAUGUUACUGGUGAUGCGGCUUAGGGACUGCUGAUGCCUUGAAGCGAAAACACAAAUAUCUCCAAAUAAUUUGCUUUUGCGCUCGGAACAUAGCAUUUUUCGGCAUCUGGAAAACGGCAUUCUCAAUGGCGGAAAGACCGCCCUCACGGCAAAGUACUCCAUGAGAAGUUUCGACAAAUUAUAAUGAAAGAUGUGUAUGAUCACAGAGCUCAACAAACGAUCAAGUCCCAGCCACUCAUUGAAUUGUGAUGCUUUUUUUUAAUAAAUUGAUCGUAUAUUCUCACA